GAACGGGCUUGGAAUAAUCAGCGGGGAAAGAAACCCUGUUGAGCUUGACUCUAGUCCGACUUUGUGAAAGAACAUGGGGGGUGUAGCGUAGGUGGGAGCUUCGGCGACAAUGAAACACCACUACCCUUAUCGUUUUUUUACUUAUUUAAUGAGGCGGGAGCGCGGUCACCACCGCACCUUCUCGAUUUAAGCCUUCGGGUGACCCGAGUUAAAGACAUUGUCAGGUGGGGAGUUUGGCUGGGGCGGUACAUCUGUUAAACAAUAACACAGGUGUC
rnacentral:rRNA from 1 species